GCGGAUAUAGUCGAGUGGUACAAUCUCUCUUUGCCAAGGAGAAGGCGUGGGUUCGAUUCCCACUAUCCGCC
rnacentral:tRNA from 1 species